UACGAAGGGGGCUAGCGUUGUUCGGAAUCACUGGGCGUAAAGCGCACGUAGGCGGAUGUGCCAGUCAGGGGUGAAAUCCCGGAGCUCAACUCCGGAACUGCCUCUGAUACAGCACGUCUUGAGUUCGAGAGAGGUGGGUGGAAUUCCUAGUGUAGAGGUGAAAUUCGUAGAUAUUGGGAAGAACACCAGUGGCGAAGGCGGCUAACUGGUCCAGUACUGACGCUGAGGUGCGAAAGCGUGGGGAGCAAACAGG
rnacentral:rRNA from 1 species